CUCCAACCGCCAUGCCCCGUAUAAAUACCCCCUCUCCCGUUAUCGUUCAAUGGAUCACUGACUCUACCGCUCGCAUUUCUCGUCCUUCGGAGGCGGACGCGGAAGGCGUCGUCUCUUCUCCGUUCAGGCGGCUGGCUUUGAUGGGGGAAGGCGUCGUCUCUUCUCCGUUUCUGCUGCUGAUCGAAAAAAGUCAUCCGUACUCCGGCGACUUUGAUCGGAGACGGGACCAGCCAUCCUCUAAUCCCUCCUCCUCGGGAAUGCAAACCGAAUCUGAUGUGAUAUCUUCCCCAAGAUUGAUUUCCCUCCUCCGGUGUAUGGAAUACUGAAACGGAAGAAACCACCUGGACAGGAGGUGUUGGUUUUCAUGUCAAGUCGGUUCUUGGACUCUGUUUGGUGCUUCUUGGGGCGUUUUGGAGCUUUGACGGUGCAUCAUGAACAAAAAGUAAAAAGAAAAAGCAUUGAUCCAGAAUUUUACACCCAGCAAGCCAGGAGCUAUUCAACUCGGAUCCAACUGGAAAGGUGGGUCCCGUGUAACUUGCCAUAAGAUUUGGUUUUAUGGCAUUCGCAUCACACCGGUACUUUACAGCGUCAAGAAUCUGCAUCGCAUUUUGUCUAUCACGACGUAAAUAACGGAUGAGAUGGAUCCACGUGGACGAUAAUAUUCGCCUCAAUCCUACGCGCUCGUCUACACCGCCUCUGCACCUUAUAAAGGGCCGGCCCCAUGGCUUAUGUGUCCUUUUGACGCAACCGGACGGCUUAUUUUCGCUCGCUCGCUCUCUCUCUCUCUCCCCCCCGUUGUCUCCAACGCCAUGCCCCAUAUAAGUAGCCCCUCUCCCGUUAUCGUUCAAUGGAUCACUGAAUCUACCCCUCGCAUUUCUCGUCCUUUUCUGCAGCGGAUGGGAGGCGGACGCAGAAGGCGUGGUCUCUUCUCCGUUAAGGUGGCUGGCUUUGAAGGCGGAAGGCGUCGUCUCUUUUCCAUUCGGGCUGCUGAUCGAAGAAAGCGUCAUCCCUACUCCGCCGACUUUGAUCGGAGACGAGAUCAGCCGUCCUCUAAUCCCUCUUCCUUGGGAAUGUAAACCGAAUCUGAUGUGAUGUCUUCCCCAAGAUUGAUUUUUCCGUCCUCCGCUGUGGAAUAGUGAAACUGAAGAAACCGCCUGGACAGGAGGUGUGGAGCGUUUUGGAGCUUUGACAGUGACAACUUGAUCCCUUGCAACAUGAUUGGAUCCUGUUUCUAUGUCUACCAAUGUAUAUGCUGCUAAAGAUAUCAAUGACCGAAGGGGGCUGGCAUGCUUGACCAACUGACCUUCAUAAUAUAUGCUGAUGGUGCAAAUCUUUAUGAGGAAUCAACUCACCUGGUUGGUUUCGCCAGUCACUUCUAAGCCUUGAGCAACUUGGGGGCUGCAAAACUUUUACUAGGUCCCCUUGUGGAUCUUCUUUCUAUUUGGGAACUUCACAGCCAAUGAAUUCUUCCCAUGGAAGGUGAGCCCUCCAUGCUAGUUGAGCCUUAUCUGAAUCCACCAAAGUUGUUUCGAACCGUCCAUCAUCACCACAGCUGCCCCUGAAGACGCCACAACUGAGUGCAGCAUAUUCAAUUUCACAUCGUAUAUUUGGAGCUGCUGUAGCAUCCUCUAUCCUGUUAAUUCCUGCUUCUAUGAAGUUUAGCCUUAUGUAUGAUGUAUGAAGGCCAAUUUCUGAAGUUGCUUUUGAGGGAGCAGUUUCAAAAUCUGUCGAAACCAAGUAUCUGGAUCUGUUUACAGGUGACUACCCUAGAAUAAUGGUAUUCAGACCAGCAUAGAUUCUUGUUUUAUUUGCAAAUAGCCAUCCAGAAUAAGUAGGAACCUGCUGCUAAAAAUAUUAUUCCUCUAACUGUGUUUGAACUAUGGUUGUUUUUGUUUUUCAUUAUGUUGAAAUUGGAGUACUCAUUUUAUGAGAA